GCCUACGGGACGCAGCAGUGGGGAAUAUUGGGCAAUGGGCGCAAGCCUGACCCAGCAACGCCGCGUGAAGGAAGAAGGCUUUCGGGUUGUAAACUUCUUUUCUCAGGGACGAAGAAAGUGACGGUACCUGAGGAAUAAGCCACGGCUAACUACGUGCCAGCAGCCGCGGUAAUACGUAUGGAGCAAGCGUUAUCCGGAUUUGCUGGGCGUAAAGGGAGCGUAGGCGGCCUGCCAAGUCUGAUGUGAAAUACCGGGGCUCAACCCCGGGGCUGCAUUGGAAACUGGCAGGCUGGAGUGCCGGAGAG
rnacentral:rRNA from 1 species